GCCUUAUUAGCUCAGUGGUUAGAGCACUCGUCUCGUAAACCAGGUGUCCGGAGUUCAAUUCUCUGAUAAGGCU
rnacentral:tRNA from 1 species